GAUGAACGCUGGCGGCGUGCCUCAAACAUGCAAGUCGAGCGGGGCUAUGUAAUAUCGCAAGGUAGAACAUAGCCUAGCGGCGAACGGGUGAGUAACACGUGGGUAACCUGCCUGGAAGACAGGGAUAACGAUUCGAAAGGGUCGCUAAUACCUGAUAAUAUCCUUUCAUCGCAUGGUGAUAGGAAGAAAGGGGAAACCCGCUUUCAGAUGGGCCCGCGUCCCAUCAGCUAGUUGGUAAGGUAAAGGCUUACCAAGGCGACGACGGGUAGCCGGUCUGAGAGGAUGUACGGCCACACUGGGACUGAGAUACGGCCCAGACUCCUACGGGAGGCAGCAGUUGGGAAUCUUAGGCAAUGGACGAAAGUCUGACCUAGCGACGCCGCGUGAGGGAAGAAGGCCUUCGGUUGUAAACCUCUGUCAUGGGGACGAAGGAAGUGACGGUACCCGAGGAGGAAGCCCCUGCUAACUACGUG
rnacentral:rRNA from 1 species